AUCAUAAAUUUCAUAACUUCAAAAUAUUAAAAUUUCAACCUUAAUUUAAGUACUUAAAUAAAACUAGAAAAUCAAGGUACAUGGUUAAUUUAACUUAAAGAGAAUAAUUUAGAGGAUACUUGGCACACCUAUAGUGUAUAAAAGAUUUUAAGGUCCAUCUUGUUAUUCUUGUGUCGUUUAGGAGUAUUUGUUAUACUCCAUGAAGAGAAGGAAAUCAAAGGAGUAAAUUCAUAAAUAUAUAAACUAAAUGCAAGAAAAUUCAUCAUUUCUCCUAUUCUUCUUCUCUUAUUCUUCUUCCUUUUGGUGGUUAGGCUUCAAAGAUGUGUUGAAGGAGAGCAAAGCAUGAUUUGAGGCAAUGGCGGAGCCAACAAAGGGCUUGAGGGAGGCAACAUGUAACUCCUUAUUUCAAGGGAAGUAACAAAGAAAUUCCUCUCUUUUCUAUUAGAAGGGGUUCAAGUCCCCUAGAAGACAUUUUUUUUCAAAAAAAAAAAAAAGAAAAAAAGAAAAAAAAAAGUGCAUGUGAUAAAGUUCUAUAAUUUCAACCAUUUUAUUUUAUUUCAUGAAAUAUUUGGUUGCUAAGAGAGUGAAGGAAAACUGUACAUUUUUCAUGAAUAAUGUCCCUAAUAUUGUAAAUUAAGGUUUUUUAGCAAACCAUUCAAUGCAUUACUAGCUCUAGAACUCAAUAUAUUGCCAAUGUCAUUGGGUUUUACAAGGA